AUUGAACGCUGGCGGCAGGCCUAACACAUGCAAGUCGAACGAGUGGCGGACGGGUGAGUAAUGUCUGGGAAACUGCCUGAUGGAGGGGGAUAACUACUGGAAACGGUAGCUAAUACCGCAUACCAUCAGAUGUGCCCAGAUGGGUGUAGCUUGUUGGUGGGGUAACGGGUCACCAGGGCGACGAUCCCUAGCUGGUCGGAGAGGAUGACCACCCACCCGGGAACUGAGACACGGUCCAGAUUCCUACGAUAGGCAGCAGUGGGGAAUAUGGCACAAUGGGCGCAAGCCUGAUGCAGCCAUGCCGCGUGUAUGAAGACGGCCUUCGGGUGGGAAAGUACUUUCAGCGGGGAGGCGUUACCCGCAGAAGAAGCACCGGCUAACUCCGUGCCAGCAGCCGCGGUAAUUC
rnacentral:rRNA from 1 species